UUCCUACGGGGGGCUGCAGUGGGGAAUAUUGGACAAUGGGCGCAAGCCUGAUCCAGCCAUGCCGCGUGGGUGAUGAAGGCCCUAGGGUUGUAAAGCCCUUUCGGCGGGGAAGAUAAUGACGGUACCCGCAGAAGAAGCCCCGGCUAACUUCGUGCCAGCAGCCGCGGUAAUACGAAGGGGGCUAGCGUUGCUCGGAAUCACUGGGCGUAAAGCGCACGUAGGCGGCUUGUUAAGUCAGGGGUGAAAUCCUGGAGCUCAACUCCAGAACUGCCUUUGAUACUGGCGAGCUUGAGUUCGGGAGAGGUGAGUGGAACUGCGAGUGUAGAGGUGAAAUUCGUAGAUAUUCGCAAGAACACCAGUGGCGAAGGCGGCUCACUGGCCCGAUACUGACGCUGAGGUGCGAAAGCGUGGGGAGCAAACAGGAUUAGAUACCCUAGUAGUCAC
rnacentral:rRNA from 1 species